rnacentral:rRNA from 1 species
GACGAACGCUGGCGGCGUGCUUAACACAUGCAAGUCGAACGGAAAGGCCCUGCUUUUGUUGGGUGCUCGAGUGGCGAAGGGGUGAGUAACACGUGAGUAACCUGCCCUUGACUUUGGGAUAACUCCAGGAAACUGGGGCUAAUACCGGAUAGGAGCUCCUGCUCCACGGUGGGGAUGGGAAGAAACGGCUGUUGGGGUCGGUUUCGCGGGUUAUCCGGUUGUUUGUGGAGGAGUGGCUUACCAAGGCUUUGACGGGUAGCCGGCCUGGGAGGGUGACCGGCCACAUUGGGACUGAGGUACGGCCCAGUCGCGUACGGUCGGCAGCAGUGGGGAGCAUUGCACAGUGGCCGGGAGCGUGAUGCGGAGGCGCCGCGAGCGGAAUGACGGCCUUCGGGUUGUAAACAGCUUUCGACUGUGACGAGGCGUGAGUGACGGUAAUGGGUAAAGAAGCACCGGCUAACUACGUG